rnacentral:lncRNA from 1 species
UAGGAUGACCCAACAUGAUAUACAAACUUAUACAUGUGACAUGCCUAUAAGACCAAAAUGAACACUCGUACACUGAACAUAGGCCGACAAGGCCAUACAAUCUUUCAUAUGCAUGACAUCUGUCUACAAUCCUCUAAGAGCACAUACAUAUCAUAAGGUUAGGACAGGACCCCACCAUACCAAUCAGUACAUGUCCAAAUCAUAUUGACCAAAUAGGUAACUCUGGAGCAAGUGGAGUGCACCAACACCUUCCGUUGAGCUGAUAGCCUACUAGGAGGAAUGUCAACCUAUCUAUCGGGACCUGCAGCAUGAAAUGCAGUGUCCCCAGGCAAAAGGGACAUCAGUACGAAUAAAGUACCGAAUAUGUAAGGCAGGAAAAUGUAAAUAAGAACAGUAAUGUAAAGAGAGAUAGAGGAGAUACAACCUGUAACAUCUGAGUGCCUCUGGGGGCUACUGACAUGAAAUGCAUAAUACAUAUAUAUACAUAAACUUUUUAAAAUCAUACGCAUCUAUGGGCAUCAUCAUCAUCAUAUCGUACCCGGCCUCAAAGAGGACCCGGUAAAAAAAAUGUACUCGACCAUCAUAAGGCUCGGUAGAAUCGGACCCGACCACGUGGAGCUCGGUAAACCCAACUGAUUAGUUGUUGCACAAUAGGUGUCGUACUCGGCUGACUAUAACGCGCCUCGGUAAAGUAAAAUAGAUACAUAUAUAUAAUGCAUGCUCAACUCAUGGAAUCAUGCUCUAAACCUUUCAGAAUAAUGUAAGGUCAGUAUCCUCUGUACACAUUAUCAGGACUAACUCUUCACUAUGAACCUUAUAAGAAUUAGGAAGUAUCAAAAACAUUGAUAACAUAAGAAUGAGAGAAGCAACAUCAACAUCAAUUGUUCCAUAAGAGGGGAAACAAUUUAAGUACUGCUAGCUUCUAAGAGUAGAGUAUCUUUGGAAGAUCGUUCAUUACAUUACAUACAAUCGGAGUCAUGCAAAAGAAGGAAAAGGAUAGCCUCACAUACCUUGUAUAUGUACUGCCCAACCUCAAGCUAUGCAAAUGUCAUGACUCCUUAGUCUACAAUAAGAGAAAUGACACUAUCGUUAUCGUUUUAGCAUCGUAAUUAUUAUGUAUCGGCCACAACCUAUUUCACAAUGAAAUGGAAAGCACCUCCCCUAUAUAUAUAACUUCACACAAGUCAAAACAAUCACAAACAACCCAACAUAUCUCUAUCACUUCAUACACAACACGACAACCAUAAUAGUAUCAAAUAAUCCGAAAAUGUUACGACGAACGACCAACAAACAACCUUGCCAUUAUGUGGUGUUUCUCUACACCCUUCCUCCUCUCAACUCUAUGAAAACAAUAGCAAAAGAGACAAACCAAUACCAACACAAAACCGCCUACAAAAUAGUCCCACAAGUUCAUCAGCUCAAAAGUAAUUUUUCAGUUUACUUAAACACGUUUCGACUUGUCUUUUCUCUCAAUUGAGAAACACAACCAAAAGUACAUAAUUAUACCUCUUAUCCAAUAAACCAGCCAUGAAUUCAACUUAAAAAUAAGUUCACAACCAGCCAACCAUUACACAAGAACAAACAACAUACCAUUCUUUCGAAACUAGCUAGGUCUAUUCUGUAUGAUCGAGUUACAACUCGCAAACGCAUAGAUAAUGGAAGGAUAAGCAUAAACGAACCUUGUACUGACUAUAAUCAACGAAACCUGGUCCUUCUUCAUCAAAAAUAAGUUCCUCAACAUGGCUACAAGAAGGAGAAAGAGAAACUAGCAAGCUGUUCGGACUUUUCAGCACUAGAAUCGCAUCGUAACACCCGGAGUACCCUAGGGUUUGUGUGGGAUUUUUGGGUAGGAGUUGCAGGGGCUCAAUUAGGUUUUCUUGGUCUGAAAGAUAGGUGAAAUAACUGUGUUGAUAGUUCCUUAAAUGACCCCUCUUGGCCGACUUUGGGGUUUUUAAUUGAGUCCUCUCAUUUUGGCAAGUAGGUGAUGCACCUACUAGUUACCUACCAGCCUGCGCAUUCUCGCAAAAGUACGAGUAUCUCUCUACUCUGACUCUGUAUCGACAAACAAUUUAAUGCUUUAGAAAACUAGAUGCAUAGAUCUUUAAUUUUGUUGGUAGAUCAUCCCCUAAUUCCAAGUAUAUUAGGAGAAAAGCUCAGUUACAUUUGACCUAAUUUUCAGCACAUUUAUGAAUAGAACUUGUGAUGACCUUUUCCAACUUUUGUUCCAUAACUCGCUUGACAUCAAAACAUAACACCAACUAUCAUACGACUAAAAUAACUCAUAUUAUAAUCUCCUUAUAAUGUUAAUAACCCUAGUUUCAUCCCAAAAGUACAUGGUAAAACAUUCCAACUUGUUGACUUUCGACGAAACUUAUUUUCUUCAAUUUGUUUAGCUUCUAAGCCUUUAAACCCUCUUGCUACUUGGGAUUAAUGAUCUUAAAUAUUUGUAACAUCCGUGUUAACAUGAUGAACUAAAUUUGUAAACUUUUCAAAGAUGAUUCCCUUUCUGAGCUUACAUUAAUUGACUUAUGCCGUACUCUUAUGUACGAAAACAUAUGGUGUAACAUCAUUCCCCCCUUUGGAAUACUCGUCCUCGAAUGUUGACUAAUGCGCUUAUCAGUCUCAUAACCCGUAGCUCUUAAGAAUACUUUAAUAUUGUCUUUGACAUCUAGGAAACUGUUCUGUAAAUAAAUCCAAAGGCCAGGGUAUUCCCCCCUUUAGGCCUCUUUCUCAUACCACAACUUGUGGUCGGAAUUUUUCCAAUCUCAUAAAUAUUGUUACCUUCUGACAUGCAUCAUGUACAGUUGUGUACUUGUAUGUGUGCCUAUGCGACUCUUCUCUCCUUUUUCCUCCAACUUUUAGCCAAUCUCUAGGCCUCACUUUAUGAACAUAUACAGAACUAUGACAAGAUGUCCCUCAAGGCAUAUAUAGGUGUACUAAAGUUCUUCGCUUGGUACUUUAUCGAACUUACGACUAUUGCUAUAUCUUGUUUCAUAGCCUUGUAUAUCUAUCCUUAUGGCUUUUCUACAUCUAGGUAGGUUAUACUAUACCAUAACACUUACUUUUGUUUAUUUUUAUCGAGGUUUGCUACCCAACUCCAGGUUAUUCUCUCGCUACUUAUCCUAUAUGUAUAAAUCUAAGUCAUUUAAUGCUUCCUUAUUAAUGUUCAUCUAAAUAAUGGCAUCAUAAUCUCCUCUCAUAUUUUGGAACUCUUAUCCAUCUAUUAUUGAUUCACCUUAAUGUUGAUCUAUAAUCCACCACUAAUAACUUGAAACCUCUUACGUAAUACAUUGUCACUAGGGCUCACGUCUCAUCGAGGAACAUCUGAAGUGGCUUUCCUUAUCCACCUAGGGACAAUACCAUACUUCAAUAACCUUAUUUUAUAGCAUCCCAAUGUGAUUCGUCUUAUAUUCUAAUCCUGUGCCAUCCAUGAAAUCUCUUCUCUUUGAAUCAUUACUCAAUUGAAGGCCUAAAUAUCAUCCUUUUAUUAUUUACCACAAUUACACCCUUACAUUACGACUAGGGAAGCAUUCUAUCUCUUCUAAAUGCUCCUAGUCUUAGAAUCCUCCGUGUUAAUUCAAGCUAUACUGAGCUUUUUAUAACAUACAUAAACCAUCAUCUCUCUUGUUUGAUGGGCUUAAUACCAAGGUCUUACCUAUUCUUGUCAACUCCUAACUUAGCUUUUCUUAUCCUUACUCCCAUAUACCUAAAGUCUUGUCACUCUGCCAUACUUUAGCUUGCGACCUACAUAUAUCUAUUUGUAAUACUCACAUCCUUCCUUUAACUUGCUAGCACCACAGAUUUCCUUUUGUGCCUUCUCAGUUGUCUUUAAAUGUAAGCAAUUACUUUUCCUGGCCGUUCUGCCAUUUGUUGCAUGAAUACUUGGCUUGUCUUAUUGCCCACGAAUACUAUAAUUUCAUGUACCUCAUAUGAUCUCAAACAUCACCUUUGAUUUGUUUUCCCAUUCAUUAGCCAUUAUAGGCACCACUUUCUUAUGGAGUGCAUCCAAUGUUGUAGUGAGACUAUUGUUACCAGACCAAUUCUUCUUCAAGUUAAUAUGCUUAGGUUGAAGCCCUUUUCCUUAUUUCCUGAGCUAGUCUUUCGUGGUAGUACUUAGGAGACUUUCUGGAUCUUGUAAAGUUGCGAGCUUGAUAUAUCGUACACCUGAAGGAAAUUUUCGUUGUUCUUACUCGCCUAUAAUAAUCCUUAGUUAAAUAACUUUGUGCCCUUGUGCUCGUAGGGUUACUUCUAAGCUCAAAUUUUCAUUGUCUCUUUAGUGGUACUCUCUCUUAUUUUCAUAAAACUUAAACGGUACCUUUAACUGCCUCAACUCCUAUCUAAAUUUUUUUAGAUGAUUGUGAUCUCAUAUCUAUGAGACUAAAUUCCCUAUGAUGUGGUUCAAUACAUUUAUAUUGCAUGAUCUUUUAAUUUAUCUGUGACCUCUUGUUUAGCCAUAACCGGGCUCUUCCUGAAUCAACUACUAAUUACUCGUUGGUCCAUUCUCAUAUAUAUAUUUCGCAUAAGCUCUCUUGGGAUAUAUCCUUUGUCUUAACUUACCUCUCGCCACUAGCUCCUGAUGUUUCAAGUGUCCAUUCACACUUAUUUAUCAAUAACAUCCUGGCUGAAAACUUUUACUACCUUUCCCCGGUAUCGUGCUUGUAUAAAGUUCUGGAGUCACAACAUAUCUGUAGGAACUGAAUAAAUGCAACAUCAUCCCUUUCUCCUUUUCACCACAUUCUUCCUUUACCAUUCCAUAGUUACCUAGACCGCUUAACUCCGACUUAAUACCAUAUCAUACCACAUUCCCUCCUUUAGGGGAGUACUAAGAUUUAGUACUAUGAUGAUCUAGCUAUAGAUGUUUUACCUCUUCAUCUUUGGCGUCUUUUCACAUUAUAAAUGAACCUUAAUCGCCUUAUGGUAAUUUUUUGUACCAGGGAUAACUAAAUUUCUUAUGCAGAAGGUGACACCUAGUGUAAUUGGCACAUUUAGUCCCUUAAGCUUAACUUUGCUCACAUUGCUCGCUUUAGGGAAACCUCUUCCUGAAUGACCUUUAAAGGUUAUUCUUCUAUUGUCCAUUUUAUUAUUGUUGGAACACGAUCUCCGAAAUUCUUAUGAGGCUGACUAUUACCAAAUACUUCGAUCCCUAAUUCAUGUUCAGUUUAUCUUAUUCUCCAUCCCAUACUGAUUUCUAUUACUCCGGGGUCUAAUCUUUCCUUAUGGUAAUCACGUUAGAGUCACCAAAUCAUUUCUCGAAAUGGGAAUAUGACUUUAUGUCUUAUACUCUUUUAUUGUCUUAAGUCCUGUCACCUCUUAUAUCUUCCUUCACUUGACUAUAAACUUUAUCAUCAUGUCGUAUUUUGAUUUACUGUUAUCACCCAUUUAUUACAUCUUACUCAUAAUGCUUUAUUUACUCUCUUCUUAUUCUCCGGCUAAUAUUUCUGUCUAUCACUUUAUUCUGAUAACUUCAACAAAUCAUUCUUUCACUUUUAGCUCCCCUUGCUUCAUCUCACUGGCUCUUUAGGUCACCUAGCAUUCUCUCUUUACUAGGAACGGGAGCCAUACAAAGGUAAAUAUUUAUCCCUUCUAGGAUUUCAGUGCCAAUCUUCUAAAAUUUCUGAACAUUCAUGUAUUCAUAUAUGAUUGUACUAUACUAUGGUGCACCAUCUGGGUGUCUCACAAGGAGAUCUGUUACCACGUUUUCACUAUCCGUCAAAAAUGUUAGCUAAUGAUAACAAUCCAUCUACAAAUUUGGGCUACUCUAACCCCAGCUGGAUCCUAAUAUCCCAUUCUUCUUUUAAACUAUAUUUGUUAGCUCCCAUAGGGCAUAAUUUCGAUGGGCGUGGCCAAUUGUACAUACCUCUGUUGCUGUUGAAUGUAACUCAUAAUACAUAUAUUUCUCUGCCUGAAUUGUAAAACUCAAAACCUUCACUAACUGGUACCUCGUAAUCUUUGUCACCUUGCUUCUUUUAUUUGUUGAAACUUGUAUCUACCUUCUGAUUCUCUUGUUGAUUUUUAAACCAUAUGGGUGGAUAGAUAUUCACGCCUUACGCCUGCUUAUCAAUAAACUUUCACGCUUUAGUACACAUAUAAUCUACUGAAGACCUUACAUUUACUCAUCAUAAGCAUGAUACAAAUUUAUGUUUCAUUGACUCAACUCUUCCAUAACAAAGUUUCUCUUACCUACUAUCUGUUUGGAUGAGGAAUCAUUGUGUUACAAAUAAAAUAGAAUUUACAAGUUUGAAUUCUUACAAUUGUGCUCUACCACACGAUCUAGAGUAAGAAGAAAGAGUGACAGUAAUAAAUGCCCUGCAGCCUCCUACUUAUAAGUGUAGUGCACUACACACCCAUAAAUAAGACUCUACUAGACACGGCUUGUAGACUCCCUAGAACAGAACUGCUCUGAUACCACUUCUGUCACGACCCAAAUUGGAGGGCCGCAAUGGGCAUCCGGUGCCUUACCCAACCGAGUACCAACAUAACGUAUUCUUUCUUAUCAUACCAUUAUGGGUAAAUAGGAUGGAAGGGUCGUCAUGAUAUAACCAGAAUGAAACAUAAGGGAAUACUCAACAUAGGAUGACCCAACAUGAUAUACAACCUUAUACACGUGACAUGCCUAUAAGACCAAAAUGAACACUCGUACAUUGAACAUAUGUUGACAAGGCCAUACAAUCUUUCAUAUGCAUGACAUCUGUCUACAAGCCUCUAAGAGCACACACAUAUUAUAAGGUCGGGGCAGGACCCUGCCAUACCAAUGAAUACAUGUCCAAAUCAUAUUGACCAAAUAGGCAACUCCGGAGAAAGUGUUGUGCACCAACACCUUCUGUUGAGCUAAUAGCCUACUAGGAUGUCAACCUAUCUAUCGGGACCUGUAGCAUGAAAUACAGUGUCCCCAGGCAAAAGGGACAUCAGUAUAAAUAAAGUACCGAGUAUGUAAGGCAGGAAAACAUAAAUAAGAACAGUAAUGUAAAGAGAGAUAGAGGAGAUACAACCUGUAACAUCUGAGUGCCUCUAGGGGCUACUGACAUGAAAUGCAUAAUACAUAUAUAUACAUAAACUUUUUAAAAGCAUACGUCUUUGUGGGCAUCAUCAUCAUCACAUCGUACCCGGCCUCAAAGAGGACCUGGUAAAAAAAACGUACCCGGCCAUCAUAAGGCUCAGUAGAAUCGGACCCGGCCACGUGGAGCUCGGUAAUCCCAACCGAUUAGUUGUUGCACAAUAGGUGUCGUACUCGGCUGACUAUAGCGCACCUCGGUAGAGUAAAAUAGAUACAUAUAUAUAAUGCAUGCUCGACUCAUGGAAUCAUGCUCUAAACCUUUUAGAGUGAUGUAUGGUCAGUAUCCUCUGUACACAUUAUCAGGACUAACUCUUCACUAUGAACCUUAUAAGAAUCAGGAAGUAUCAACAACAUUGAUAACAUAAGAAUAAGAGAAGCAACAUCAACAUCAAUUGUUCCAUAAGAGGGGAAACAAUUUAAGUACUGCUAGCUUCUAAGAGUAGAGUAUCUUUGGAAGAUCGUUCAUUACAUUACGUACAAUCGGAGUCAUGCAAAAGAAGGAAAAGGAUAGCCUCACAUACCUUGUAUAUGUACUGCCCAACCUCAAGCUAUGCAAAUGUCAUGAUUUCUUAGUCUACAAUAAAAGAAAUGACACUAUCGUUAUCGUUUUAGCAUCGUAAUUAUUAUGUAUCGGCCACAACCUAUUUCACAAUGAAAUGGAAAGCACCUCCCCUAUAUAUAUAACUUCACACAAGUCAAAAAAAUCAGAAACAGCCCAACAUAUCUCUAUCACUUCACACACAACACGACAACCAUAAUAGUAUUAAAUAAUCCGAAAAUAUUACGACGAACGACCAACAAACAACCUUGCCAUUAUGUGGUGUUUCUCUACAUUAUUCCUCCUCUCAACUCCAAAAAAAAGUAGCAAAAGAGACAACCCAAUACCAACAUGAAACAACCCACAGAACAGUCCCCUAAGUUUAUCAACUCCAAAGUAAUUUUUCAGUUUACUUAAACACCUUUCGACUUGUCUUUUCUCUCAAUUGAGAAAAACAACCAAAAGUACAUAGUUAUACCUAUUAUCCAAUAAAACAACCAUGAAUUCAACUUAAAAAUAAGUUCACAAUCAGCCAACCAUUACACAAGAAUAAACAACAUACCAUUCUUUCGAAACUAGCUAGGUUUAUUAUUUACGAUCGAGUUACAACUCACAAACGCAUAGAUAAUGGAAGGAGAAGCAUAAAAUUACCUUGUACUGAGUAUAACCCACGAAACCUGGUCUGUCUUCAUCAAAAAUAAGUUCCUCAACACGGCUACAAGAAGGAGAAAGAGAAACUAGCAAGCUGUCUGGACUUUUCAGCACUAGAAUUGUGUCGUAACACCCGGAAUAUCCUAGGGUUUGUGUAGGAUUUUUGGGGAGGAGUUGCAAGGAUUCAAUUAGGUUUUCUUGUUCUUAAAGAUAGGUGAAAUAACUGAGUUGAUAGUCCCUUAAAAGACCCCUCUUGGCCGACUUUGAGGCUUUUAAUUGAGUCCUCUCAUUUUGGCAAGUAGGUGAUGCACCUACUUGUCACCUACCAUCCUGCGCAGUCUCGCAAAAAUACGAGUAUCUCUCUACUCCGACUUCGUAUCAACAAACAAUUUAAUGCUUUAGAUACUAGAAUCAUAGAUAUUUAAUUUGGUAUGUAGAUCAUCCCCUAAUUCCAAGUAUAUUGGGGAAAAAGCUCAGUUACAUUUGACCUAAUUUUCAGCACAUUUAUGAAUGAAACUUGUGAUGAUCUUUUCCAACUUUUGUUUCAUAACUCGCUUGACUUCAAAACAUAACACCAACUAUCAUACGACUAAAAUAACUCAUAUUAUAAUCUCCUUAUAAUGUUAAUAACCCUAGUUUUACCCCAAAAGUACAUGGAAAAAUAUUCCAACUUGUCGACUUUUGACGAAACUUAUUUUCUUCAAUUUGUUUAGCUUCUUAGCCUUUAAACCCUCUUGCUACUUGGUAUUAAAUAUCUUAGAUAUUUGUAACCUCCACGUUAACAUGAUGAACUAACUUUAUAAACUUUUCAAAGAUGAUUCCCUUUUUGAGCUUACAUUAAUUGACUUAUGACGUUCUCUUACGUACGAAAAUAUGGGGUGUAACAAUACCAUUCGUGAGCGACUGUCCAUUUGAGUUUGUGUGUGGUGGUGAAUUUCACAUGGUUGAUUAACGUAUCUUCACUCCCACCAAUGAUCAUUUGUAUAGUACGAGAUGGUGAUAGUGGUUUUAGAGGUCCCUAAGGUUGAUCGCGUCCACGAGAAAAGUUGGCCCAUCCUCGAUUGCUCAGCAGUUCUUUCAGGUAUCACUUGUUUAACAUUCUUACCACUUUCUGUCGCAAACAUAUGCAGUCCUCGGUCUUGUGUCCCCUUUUAUGAUGGAAUUUACAUAGAACAUUCGAUCUCCUCGUGCUCGGAUUCGACUUCAUCUUGUGCGGCCACUACACCUUUGUGGCGAGCUUUUCCAGUGCGUACACUAUUUCUGAAGGAGAAAUACAAAAGUUAUGAGUAGAUAAUAGUGGAGGCAUACCUCUUUCAUUUCAGGGUGGUGCGAUGUGUCGAGGCGCACCAUCUAUAUGUCGUGGAGGAGGUGGGUUGGAUUUUCGGAUAUAGGGCUGGUGCCUUUCUCAAUUGAAACGUGGUAGUUGGUCCCUUCAGCCGUCAUUGCGGUGAUCUCUCCUUGUCUCUGUCUGGACCGAGGUUAGUCAUUGGAUCGGACCGUUCAGGCCAUCCUCAUCUGCCCUCACUUCGGCUCAAUAGGCAUUAUGGAUCUCUUCCCACGUGGUGGGGGGUACUUCAUGAGUCUACUUAGCAGCUUUUUGGUUGCUUUUGACCCAUUUCUAUUUAACCCAUUUUGAAAGGCUGCUACCGCCAUACUUUCUGACACGUUUGGUAUGCUCAUCCUUACCCUGUUGAAUCGGGCUAGGAAAUCCCGAAGUCCUUCAUCUGUCGUUUACCUGACAACGAAGAUAUCAUUUACCCUGGCCUCUGCCUUUUUCGCUCCUGCGUGAGCGGUGACUAACUUAUCUGCCAUUUCUUCGAACGUUCAUAUCGAUCGUGCUGGUAGUUGGGAAUACCAUAUCAACGCUCCUCUUUUCAGAGUUUUGCCAAACUUUUCAGCAGUACUGACGGCACCUGUUCUUUUGAUAGAUCGUUACCUUUUACUAUAGUAACGUAAUGGAUUAAGUGAUCCUCCGGGUCUGUGGUGGCAUCAUAUAUUUUUAGAUAUGGCAGCAUUUUGAAGGUUUUUAGAAUAGAGUGGGAAGCUGCCCCUUCACUAUAUGGUUGUUCGACGAAUCGGCCCACGUCACGUUUUGGUAGCAACUUCGGAGCGCCCGAUAUUUUAUCAACCCUUUCCUGAUGCUCUUUCAUCUGUCGUAGAGUGUUUUGUUCUCAUUUUCCAUCUCUUCCAUUUUCAUUAAGAUGGUCGCAAGUGCAUUGUUGCUUGCAUCAGCGACCGUAUGGGCGUUACUUGUUCGUGUAAUUUCUGGCUCAUCGACGACAGUUGCGGUUUCUGCGGGUAAUGUGUCUUCGAUAUCCCUCUAUACGGGUUUCUCGAGUAUGUUGCUCAAGAUAUUUGUCAGCCAUUCUUCUAAUAGCCUUUUCACGGCUGGUGGUACUUCUCUUGCUGUGGAUGUUAAGGUUUCCCUCUCGCGCGAGACAGUUAAACCCUCUUGGGGGGGUGUGAGAUCUCUCCCUCAGGUGUAGCACUUGAUGUUGCGUUUUUGUUGUCUUCUCCAUUGGCAUCAUUGAGGGAAUUCAGGAGGUUGUUCGUGACACCUACUAUUGCAUUUAGCCUUGUUUCUCCCUUUCCUGCAAUUGUUAGCCUUUGUAAGACUAAAAAGAGGUUAUUAUUUCUUUCAAGAAUCUAGACAAAACUAAGAUCUCAGCUAUAGAAAUCCCCACAGACGGCGCCACAUUGUUUGACUCAAAAGAUAUCGAAAUCUUUUUGAAUAAAUCAAUCAAAGAAAAUGAAGGGGUAAAUCUUAUCUAUGUAUAAUAAUCUCUAGAAAGAAAGAUAGAUAAGGGGAAUACGGAUGAUAAGAAUUCUUUAUCCCAUCUAGACCAAAAGACCUUUCACAAUAAUCUUCUCAAUCUUUUAUGUAAGCAAGUUUACAGCAAGUAUUAUGGAUUAGCAAAAGUGCCUGCCCUUACAAAGUUGUUUCAUGCUAUAUAUAUAUAUAUAUAUAUAUAACGNNNNNNNNNNNNNNNNNNNNNNNNNGUGCAGAUCCAGGUUCUUCUGCUCAGCCAUUCUACCAGUGAGGCGGGCGAUACCAGAGACUUCGAGGUAUAUAUGUCGCGUCCGCAAAUCUAGAAGUCCCUCUCUAUUCUCCCCUCUAGCUUUAGACUUCCUGUACUUACUUUUGAUUAGACAUUCUAGAGUUAGAACACUAUAUAGUUUUUCUACAGUUUGUGAUUUCAUGAGAUUCUGGGUUUUGGGAGUUUGAUUCAAUUUUGAGAGUAUGUAUUGUAUAUGCCGAGCGGCAUUUCCAAACUCUUUACUUAUAUUUUUACUCGUAACUUGCCAGUUUCGUAUUUCAUUUCCUUUUUCCGCAAUUUGUUAGGCUUACCUAGUUGUAGAGACUAGGUAUAGUCACGACAGUUCACGGAGGGAGAACUAGGGUCUUGAAAAGUUAGUAUCAGAGAUCUAGGUUCAUAGAAUGUCAUGAAUCGCAAGCCGAUUUAUUAGAGUCUCACGGAUCGGUACGGAGACGUCUGUACUUAUCUAUGAGAGGCUAUGUAACUAUUAGGAAAAUUCCACUUCAUUUGAUUUCCUUGUUAUGUAAGAGUUUUGAUAUCAAAAUUCUAAACCUCUAUCUUCUAUUCUCUCACAGAUGGCGAGGACACGUGCUACCGGAGAUGAACAGGAACCCGCACCCCCUACUAGAUCCAUCAGUGGUCGGGGCUGGGGUAGAGGCCAAGGACGUGCACGUGGUGCAGCCAGAGCACCCUCGCGAGCUGCCAUAGAGGAGCCACUAGCAACUCCAGCCGGAGCCCAAGCACCUGACACGCCUACUGCUACUACUACUACUCCAGCUCUUCAGGAGACCUUUGCACAGUUCGUGAGCAUGUACACCACUCUAGCUCAGGCAGGGUUAAUUCCCCUUGCUGCAGCCACAUCCCAGGAAAGGGAGGAGCCUAGACUCCCGCCUCCCAUACCCCAGAGCAGCGAGUCCUGGUUAAUUAGAUCCCAGAGGUUAUACCGGUACCGUCUGCAGCCCCAGUUAAGCCCGAGGAUAGGGCAGCAGCUUCGGAGGAUGAGCAGCGGAGGCUUUAGAUGUUCAAGAAGUACAAGCCUCCUAUAUUCAGUGGUCUAGCAUAAGAUGAUGCUCUGGUAUUUCUGGACAAGUUCUAACGUAUCCUCCGCACUAUGGGUAUAUCAGGAUCGAGUGGGGUUUACUUCAGUACCUUCCAUCUUCGAGGAGCAGCGUACCAAUGGCGGCGUACUUAUGAGUUGGAAAGACCAGCUGAGGCACCUUCCCUUAUAUGGACCUAGUUUUCAGAUAUAUUUUGAGGGAGUAUGUUCCUCAAAGCCUUAGGGAUGCAUGACGCGCUAAGUUUGAGCAUUUGCGCCAAGGUGCUAUGAUAGUUUCGGAGCAUGCUGUCCAUUUCACUGACUUGGCUAGGCAUGCAAAAGCCUUGGUUUCUACAGUUCGUGAGAGAGUUCACCGGUUUAUUGAGGGGCUCAUUCCUAGCAUCAAGUCUAGCAUGGCUCGGAAGUUGGAGAUAGAUAUCUCUUAUCAGCAGGUGGUGAGCAUUUCUAGGAGAGUAGAGGGUAUGCAUGCUUGGGAUAGAGAGGAUAGGGAAGCCAAGAGGUCUCGAGGGUCGGGUCAUUAUUCUGGUGCCCGUGCCCCAGUUGCAGUUCAUCAUGGUAGGGGUUAUAUGAGUCGCCCUGUUUAUUCAGCUCUUCUAGCAGCCAGUGGUAUUCCAGCUCCUCCUAGACCCAAAGAGCCUUAUUAUGAACCUCCAGUAUCUAGGCCUCCUACAUGGGGUGCUUUCAGUGGUUAGUCCAGCAGAACUUGAGCGAGCCAGUCACAGCCGCCACUUCCUCCCAGAGCUUGUUUUGAGUGUGGUGACACACACCAUAAGGUGAGAGAUUGCCCCAGACUUAGGAGGGGUGCACCUCCACAGACUUCUGAGCCAUAACAUGCUUCGUAGAGUUCUCAUGCUAUGAUUACAGCACUAGUUGUUGCCCCACCUACCCAACCAGAUAGAGGGGAGGUCGGGGAGGUAGAGGUCUCCCUAGAGGGGGAGGCCAAGCUAGAUAUUAUGCCAUUCCUGCCCAUACUGAGGUUGUCGCCUCCAAUUCUGUCAUCACAUGUAUUGUACUGGUUUAUCAUAUAGAUGCAUCAGUUUUAUUCGAUCUAGGCUCCACUUAUUCUUAUGUGUCCUCUUAUUUUGCCUCGUAUUUGGGCGUACCUCGGAAUUUUUUGAGUUCCCCUGUUUAUGUUUCUACUCCCGUGGGAGAUUCUCUUAUUGAGGACCACGUUUAUCAGUCAUGUUCGAUUGCUCUUAGUGGUUUUGAGACUAGAGCCGAUCUAUUAUUGCUCACCAUGGUAGAUUUAGAUGUUAUCUAGGGCAUGGACCGGUUGUCACCCUAUUAUGCUAUUCUUGCUUGUCUCGCCAAAACCUUGACAUUGGCUAUGCCAAAUGUACUGCGAGUAGAGUCAAGGGGUACCUUAGAUCACACUCCCAGUAGAGUUUUUUCAUUCCUUAAGUCUCAGCGAAUGGUUGACAAGGGUUGUGGCGCAUAUCUAGCUUACGUGACAGAUAUCAGUAUUUAUACCCCUAUAGUUGAUUGAGUCCCAGUAGUAUGGGAUUUCCUUGAUGUGUUUCCAACUGAUCUUCCGGGUAUGCCACCCGACAGCGAUAUUGAUUUCGGCAUUGAUUUGUUGUCGGUCACUCAGCCUAUUUUCAUUCCUCCUUAUCAUAUGGCCCCUCCUGAGUUAAAGGAGUUGAAGGAUAAGUUACAGGAAUUGCUCGAUAAGUGUUUUAUUCAGCCCAGUCACCUUGGGGUGCUCUUGUCUUGUUUGUGAAGAAAAAGGAUGGUUCUAUGCGUAUGUGCAUUGAUUAUCGCCAGUUGAACAAAGUUACAGUGAAGAACCAGUAUCCUUUGACUCGUAUUGAUGAUUUGUUUGACCAGUUAUAAGGUGCUCGAGUGUUUUAUAAGAUUGACUUGCGUUCAGGUUAUCAUUAGUUGAAGAUUCGAGAGCCAGAUAUCCCGAAGACUGCUUUCAAGACUCGGUAUGGUCAUUACGAGUUCCUUGUUAUGUCAUUUGGGCUGACCAAUGCCCCAGCAGCCUUUAUGCAUUUGAUACACAACAUUUUCUGCCAUAUCUUGACUCGUUCAUCAUUGUCUUUAUUGAUGACAUUCUGGUAUACUCCUAGAGUCGGGAGGAUCAUGAGCAGCACCUGAGGACAACGCUUCAGACUUUGAGAGAAAAGAAAUUAUAUGCAAAUUUCUCAAAAUGUAAGUUUUAGUUGGAUUCCGCGAAAUUCUUCGAUCACGUGGUAUCGAAUGAAGGGAUCAAGGUGGAUACAAAGAAGGUGGAGGCGGUAUAGAGUUGGCCCAGACCAUCCUCAACUAUAGAGAUCCGUAGUUUUCUUGGCUUGGCGGGUUAUUACCAUCGAUUUGUUUAGGGAUUUUCAUCUAUUGUAGCACCUAUGACCAAACUGACCCAGAAGGGUGCUCCGUUCCAGUGGACGGAAGAGUGUGAGGAGAUCUUCCAGAAGCUCAAGACAACUUCAGUAUGAUGACCCUCAUUUGCUUAUCCUCAUAGACAAGGUUCUGCAUGGUGAUGCUAGAGAUGUGACCAUUGGUGAUGAUGGUGUAUUGAAGAUGCAAGGUCGAGUAUGUGCACCCAAUGUUGAUGGGCUUCAAGAGUUGAUUCUAGAGGAAGCCCACUGUUUGCGGUAUUCCAUCCAUCUGGGUGCCGCAAAGAUGUACCAAAAUUUGAGACAUCACUAUUGGUGGAGGCGGAUAAAGAAUGAUAUAAUUGGAUUUGUAGCUAGGUGCCUCAAUUGUCAUCAGGUAAAGUAUGAGCACCAGAGACCAGGUGGUUUGCUUCAGCAGAUAGAUAUUCUGGAGUGGAAGUGGCAGCGGAUCACCACGGAUUUCGUAGUUGGACUCUCACAAACUUUGAGAAAGUUCGAUGCCAUUUGGGUGAUUAUGGAUCGGCUGACCAAGUUUGUGCAUUUCAUCCUUUGUGUACCACCUACUCUUCGGAACGGUUGGCGGUGAUUUAUAUCCAGAAGGCUAUUUGUCUGCAUGGUAUUCCAGUUUCCAUCAUUUUAGAUAGAGGUACUUAGUUUACAUCACGGUUCUGGAGGGCCGUACAACAUGAAUUGGAUACUUCGGUGGAGUUGAGCAUAGCAUUUCACCCCCAGACAGACUGACAGUCCGAGCGCACAAUUCAGAUUUUUAAGGGUAUGCGUCGUGCGUGUGUGAUGGAGUUUGGAGGUUCUUGGGAUCAGUUCUUGCCACUAGUGGAGUUUGCCUACAAAAACUGUUAUUAGUCCAACAUUCAGAUGGCACCGUAUGAGGCCUUGUAUGGUAGGCGGUCUAGAUCCCCGGCGGGUUGGUUUGAGCCAGGUGAGGCUAGAUUAUUAGGCACAUACUUGGUUCAAGACGCCUUGGAGAAGGUUAAGGUGAUAUAGGAUAGACUUCGCACAUCCCGGUCCAGAUAGAAGAGUUAUGCGGACCAGAAGGUUCGUGAUGUUUCCUAUAUGGUUGGAGAGCAGGUCUUGCUUCGGGUUUCGCCUAUGAAGGGCGUCAUGAUAUUUGGGAAGAUGGGGAAAUUGAGUCCGGCUUUUAUUUGUCCUUUUGAGGUAUUAUGACGUGUUGGGGAGGUUUCUUAUGAGCUUGCCUUACCUCCCAGCUUGGCAGGAGUUCAUCCGAUAUUUCAUAUUUCGAUGCUUAGAAAGUAUCACGGUGAUCCGUCACAUGUGUUGGAUUUCAGUUCAUUCCAGUUGGACAAGGAUUUAUCUUAUGUGGAGGAUCCAGUGGCGAUAUUGGGUAGGCAAGAUCGAAAGUUGAGGUCAAAGAACAUUGCAUCAAUGAAGGUUCAGUGGCGGGGUCAGCCGGUCGAUUAGGCGACUUGGGAGACCGAACGGGAUAGCGCAGUCAUUACCCUCUUCUUUUCACUACUUCAGAUAUGUUUCUAUGCUCGUUCGAGUACGAACGAAUGUUUUAAGCGGGGGAGGAUGUAACGAUCCGGCCAGUUUUUUUGAGAAUUAACGCCUUGAUCCCCUAUUAACUGCUUUCCCCGGGUUUAUUGUUGCUAUUGUGAGUUGCCGGGAAGUUUUGAGUUUCGAAGUGUUUUGGGACACGUAGUCCCUCAAUGAGAUCUUAAGCUUUAGAAUUUGGACCGUAGUCGGAGCAGUGUGACGACGUCCUCGAAGUGGAAUUCGUAGAUUCUGUUAGCUUCGUUAAGUGAUUUCGGGAUUAAGGGCGUGUUCGGAUUGUGUUUUGGAGGUCUGUGGCUUAUUUAGGCUUGAAAUGCUGAAAGUUGAAUUUUUGAAGUAUUCAGAUUGAUAGUGAGAUUUUUAUAUCGGGGUCAGAAUCCAAUUCCGAAAGUUGGAAUAGCUCUGUAGUGUUGAAUGUGACUUGUGUGCAAAAUUUGGGGUCAAUCAGACAUGGUUUAGUUGGUUUCAGCAUCGGUUGUAGAAUUCUUGAGAUUUCAAGUUCAUUAGGCAUGGAUUGGAGGGUGAAUCAUGGUUUUAGCGUUGUUUGAUGUGAUCUGAGGUUGGAUUAAAUUUGUAUGAUGUUUUAGGAUUGGUUGGCAUGUUUGGUUGAGGUCCCAAGGGCCUCACGUGAGUUUCGGGUGUUUAAUGGAAUUAGAUUUGGACUUAGGCAUUUUCUGAUAUUGCUGAAUCUAUCAUAACCGCACCUGCGUAUGUGGGACGGCAAGUGCGGGACUGCAGAAGCGGCUUGAUGAUCGUAGAAGCAGAUUUAGGCUAGGGCUUCAGGAAUCGCAGGUGCGGCUGGCUGACCGCAAAUGCGGAACCACAGAUGCGGCCAAGUGACCGCAAAUGCGUCCCCAGCCCGGUUAAGUGAAUUUCGCACCUGCGAUGCCUUUUCCGCAGGUGCGUCCCCCCUGACGCAUAUGCGGUAAUCGCUCGGCAGAUAUAGAACUUUUGAGAGUUUGAAGUUCAUAACAUUAAAUUUGAUUUUAGCUCGGGAGAAGGCGAUUUUGAGAGGGUUUUGAAGAGGAAAUCAGUGGGUAACGAUUCCUAACCCUAUUUCGUUUAUAUUUUAUCAAUCUAUUGUUGUUUUACACAUUUAAUCUAAGAAUUUGAGUGGAAGAAUGGGGAUUUGGGGGACAAGUUCCCCAAUUGAAAAUUCGAGUUUUGAGUAAGAUUUGGAGUCGGAUUUUGAUGAUUUUUGUUUGAGUGUGCUCGUGAGUGAAUGGGUGUUCAUAAUUUCUGACUUUUACCCGAUUCCGAGGCUUGGGCCUGGGGAGGAUUGUCGGGCGUUUUUCUAUUUCCUUACCUUAGCUUCGAUUCCUUUAGCUAAAUUUGUUGUUUGUUAUAUUUACAUUAUUAAAUUUAUUUAAUUAGAUUUGGCCCACUAAGAGUUGGAUAAUCGUUGCAAGAGCGUGAUUUCAGAUUUAUUUUGAGUUGGUUCGAGGUAAGUGGUUUGCCUAACCUUGUGUGGGGUGACUCUCCUUAGAAUUUUGGUAUUGUUGUUAUAUGAGUGUCGUAUACGUGAGGUGACGAGUGUGUAAACGUGCUAAUUGUUGAAAAACUCCAUUUUCAUUAAGUAAAUAUCUGCGUUUUCUUCUAAUUGAGAAAUUCUUGUACUUGAAGCCUCUUGUUUAGUUUAGGAAAAGCAUGCUCAUGUGAUCUAAUUGUCUUACUUGCUUUAUCUGCUUACUUGUAUUUUGUGAAACAUGUUUAGAGUAGAAUUCCUAUUUAUUUUCGAAUAGAAUUGUAGGUUCUUUCUUGAGACUGUUGUUUGUUUACUUUGGGACUACGGGACGAUAUCCCGGGAGAUGCCCCUGCAUGUUUACUUUGGGACUACAGAUCGGUAUUCUGAGAGAUCCCCCUGCACGUUUACAUUUGGGACUACGGGACAAUACCCGGAAGAUUCUCCUGUACUAGAUAUUUACUUUGGGCCUACGGAUUGGUAUUCCGGGAGAUUCUCCUACAUAUUUAUGAUUCGGGCUACGAGACGAUAUCAUAGGAGAUCCUCUACACAAUUACAUUAGGAAUUAUGGGACGAUAUCCUCGGAGAUCCCUUGUUGCUAUCUCUAUGUACUGAGUAUAUUAUGUCUGUGAUUUUACUCUUUAUCAAUUGUUAGUAUUUUUAAUUAUACCGUAGCACUUCAUACUAUUUUACCUUGUUUUAUAUGUAUAUAACCAAUAGGGCCCUGACCUUCCUCGUCACUACUCGACCGAGGUUAGGCUUGACACUUAGUGUGUAUCGUUGUAGUGUACUCAUGCCCUUUCCUCCACAUAUUUUUUGUGUGCAGAUCCAGGUUCUUCUGCUCAGCCGUUCUACUAGUGAGGCAAGCGAUAUCAGAGAUUUCAAGGCAUAUCUGCCGCAUCCGCAGAUCCAGAAGUCCAUCUCUAUUCUCCCCUCUAGCUUUAGACAUUCUGUAUUUACUUUUGAUUAGAUAUUCUGGAGUUAGAACACUAUAUAGUUUUUCUACAGCUUGUGAUUUCAUGAGAUUCCGGGUUUUGGGAUUUUGAUUCGGUUUUGAGAUAACGUAUUGUAUAUACCGAGCGGCAUUUUCAAACUCUUUACUUAUGUUUUUACUCGUAACUUGCCAGUUUUGUAUUUCAUUUCCUUUUUUCAAAAUUUGUUAGGCUUACCUAGUUGUAGAGACUAGGUGCCGUCACGAAAGUUCAUGGAGGAUGAACUAGGGUCAUGACAGUUUCACUGGCAAAGUCUUGGAACAAUCUAUCAAAAUGCUUCUGUGCUUCUCCAUCAGACGGCUGGUGCAGCACACCAUCUAGCCUUCUAUAUUCAUAGCGCUAUCUCAUAUGAGGAGCGGAACUCAUUGAUGUAUAAUACCUCUUUAACCUUAGUAUAAGGGGUAAGUAGUGCAUCAACUUCAAUGGAACCUUCUUCUAUUUAGCAUUUGUGACAUCAUUGAAAUAAGGCAGGUUAAAAAAUGUAUUAUUUUCUAAAGCUUCAUCAUCCUUAUAGAAUAACAUGCAACCUUUAUUACAACAAUCAAUCCUCUUCGAUGAAAGACUCAACUUGGAAACUAAUUUCUUUGCCGUGUAAAAAUCUUUGGGCAGGUAAAUCUUUGUCGGAUUAAGUUCAUUCAUAAGGCCAAUGAUAGAAUCCAUGUCACUUGAGAAAUAGAAUUAUCUGAUUUAAUACUUAGUAAUCUAACUGCAACAAACAAUUUGGAAUACAUUGCGCCUUCAUAAAGAGGACAACUAGCUUCCUCUAACUACUUGAAGAAGCUCUUAGCCUCAUCAUUUGGUUUAGAUUGAGCCCCUGGGAACAUCUCAAAAGCAUCCCUCAUCAUUUCAUUGAAUCGAAAUUUUUUUACAUUAUUAUUCCCCGCUAUGGGACUAUCGUCUUCUCCACCAAAAGAAUUUUGAAAAUCAAUAUCAUUUACACUAGCAUGACUCUGCUCAUAAAUAGUCCACUCAUAAUAAUUUACCAUACACCCCUUCUUAUAUAGAUGAACAGUAAUAAUGUCGGAAGCCAAUAACUUAACUCACUUGCAUUUCACACAAGGACACCUAAUCGUCCCUUCAAUAAGGAAAUCAUCAAAUGUCUUUUCUUUACCAAUAAAGCCAGCAACCACUUCUAUAAAUUCUUCCCGCAAACCGUUACGAUUCGCAUGAUUCCUAUUGUACAACCAUCUACGAUGUGUAAAUUCCAUCUACACAUAGAAGAAAAUUAGAAAUUGAAAUAUUUAUGUUAUUUACCCUAAUCAAUAAAUUUUAUUCUUUAAAGGUUACUUAUCUAAAUAGUUUAAUUAUAUAUUUAAGUGUAAUUUGAUAUUUAUCUAUCUGAUUUAGUAAUCUAAAAAGGUUUUUGCAUUCAUCCAUACUCAUUGGUAAACUCAAAAGCAACAACAAGCGUUAAACAUUAUAUUCAAAAAACCUUAGCUUAAUACAAUUUCAAACCAAUGAGAUUAUUAUAUUUAAUAAACUUUAAUCUUACAAUUAUUUUGUAUAUUUACUUCACUAUUGUUUAAAGUAUAGAAGCUACAUAACAUAAAUAAUAUAAAAUACAAUUAAAUCCCUUUGAAAGAUGAAUCAAAAUUAAUGCUAUAAUUAUUCAACACACUACUUAAUGGUAACUGAAUAACAUAUAUACAUUACAAUGUGAAAAUAAAGUCAAAAUUGAAUAGUUUUAUUCCUAAUUUUAUAACAUAUAUAAUUUACCAUACCUUUCGAAGAUUACUCCUAUUGAAGAAGAAUAUAUAUCUCAACUUUCAAAAGAAGAUUAAUUUUAAUGUUACUCAAGGUUAAUUCACUUCUAAUUUUUUUAUUCAAAAGAAGAUUACUUUUAAUGUUACUCAAGGAUCUAAACAAUAGUUAUUCAAAGUCAAAAUUAAAUUAUUCUUCAUUUCAACUCUAAUUUCAAUUCUAAUCAUAUCAAACAAAAAAAUCUACAAUUCAAAUUUUAAUAGCAAUACAAAUAAAAAGAACAAAUAUAUUAACAUUCAAGUCCAGAGAAAGAUGAUGGAAGGACUUACCUCGCCAGAGAAGAUGCAUGCUGCCGGAGAAGACUCACGUUGCCGGAAAAGAUAUAAACACUACCUGAAAAAGAAAAAAAGAGGGGUUAGAAGGGGAGUUGGCCUUGACAGAGAUGAGGCGGAGAGGGAGGAAGGGAAAAAGAGAUAUAUACCGUCGGGCAAUUCGGCAACGACGACGUGGGAUGAACAAGUGGGCAAAGAGAGUGAAGGGGGCUAAGAUAAGAGA